ACUUCACUCCUAAAUCUUAGUUUAAUAUUAUCAAAUGAUUCAGGAGUCCUAUCAUUAUCAUAAAAAUUACACAAUAAUUUGUUCUAUAAAAUAAUUAUGAAGCACCAUUGGUUGUUUUAACAAUACAAGAAUACAAGAUUAUUUCUUGUCCCAUCCCAUCAUUAUCCUAAUUAAUAUAUUAGUAUAUUAAAAAUAAAUAUAUUUCAUAUGGAACCAUUAAAUUUGACUUCAGGCUUUGAAGUUAAUAUUCCACAUAAAUGGAAGCAAUUAUUAAAUAUCUUCUAACAAAAAAUGAAGAAUUAACAUUCAGUGACUAAACAACACAAUGUCUGAAUCAUUGGGGUAAUCCUAAAGACUUGAUGAUAUACAGAUUUGUCAAUUAGCUUUUAGCAAUGUAGUUUUCUUCAGGCUGUAAUGCCAAAUUAAUUUUUUAGUAGAGCUACAAGAGUUUAUUUAUUGUAAAAAUGUGAAUACAGCCCUUUCUAAUUCAAGGCAAUUCACCCUAUAAUAGAUCAAACUUUUUAGUUGUAAUUAAACAGUUUGUCAAAAAUCAUUCAUUAACCCAAGCAAAAUUGUUUAUGUGUCAGAAAGAAUCCAGAUUGGACUCAAAAAUUUCAUAAUCACUACACUAGUUCUAUAAAACUGCUUUAAAAUAUUAAUGUUUAACCAUAUACAACACUCGUUCACUUAACACAAGCUUUUAGUGCAUGCCUCAGACAUGAUUUGCUUAAAACUGAAUUUCAGAAGCAUGAAAAAACUUUACUGAAUUAUGCAUUCAGUUUAAAAGGGUGUAAGUAAGACUCACCUAUGUGGGAACUUAACAAUACUGAACAUACUUAGGGUAGGUUCACACAUAUAAACCAAGUGCUUUUCCCAUCCUGUUGUAAGAAUUUUUAAAAAUAGGACUUUGUAGAAAAGUAUAUGAUGACUUUUCCUUCUAUACAGAUGCAUGUUUCCAUAAUUAUUUUAACUGUACUUUAAAAGACAACCAUUAACUGCCAUUGCACUAAUAAAUUCAUUUAUUAAUAAAUACACCUAUUUCAUUAAUGAUAACUUGGAUAUGAUUUAGGCAUGAAGUUUACAAUAGAAGGCUGCAUAGAGAAAAAAGACCAGUUUCUAUGUGUGAACUAUCCUACUUGUUCUAAUGAUCCCACAGUAUAGGUCUUGCCCAUACAGUAAGUUAUGUGUGGGUAUUUUCUGUAUGUUUCAUUUCUGUUGAGUUCAAUAAGUGAUUUCUAGCAUAGGUACUAAACACAUACAGACCUGUAGAUGCCUUGCAUCUGCAGUUAACUACAAAUAUCUACAAGAAUUUGAUGUACUAGCUACCAAAUCAAAAUGAUGAAGAAAGACUGAAAUAGGAAUGUAUUCAAAACAUAAAAGUAAACAGGACAAAGGGGGGGAAAAGCACACAAAGAGAGAGAGAGAGAGAGAGAGAGAGAGAGAGAGAGAGAGAGAAAGGCUACAAGUCCCAUGAAGCAAAAGAGUGGAUGAUAGCACAGGGGCGCCUCACUUACCAUCUUUUUGUUAUUCUACUUCAACAGGUCAAGAAAGAUGAAGAAAAGGCAGAAGCAAGAGAAUCAGAAGAGGCCCUGGUGAAACCUUUAUCCAAAUUAUUUCAAGUAUACAUAACAGAAACAAAGCAGAAAAACAGAUGCAGGUGGAAAUGCUUUGAAUAUAGCAUACUUCAAGAUGCGAAAAUAUUUUGACCGACAAGCAAAUAAGAAACCAGCAUUUUAAUUUAGAAUACAUCAGUUUUACUAAACAGCUUGGCAAUGUUUAGAAUACGAAAAAUAUUUUGAGAUAUCUUAUCUGGGAUACUUUCAAUGGUGUUGGCAGUUUCCCUAAAAGUUUUCUAUUUUAAUGUUUCUUUAAUAUAUUGCAAAAACCCAAUAUUCAAAAUAUAUGACAAGAACAACAUCACCAUAGUUACAGGCUUCAUGAAUAAAAUUUCACAUUGCUCUAAAAAUAGAUUAUGCAUUGACUUAGUAAGAAGUGUGUCCCAAUUUGCAUUUAUAUUAGCAAUAACAAAAGUAGUUUUCUAUAUUUGUUAAUAUACUCAUAGGCCAAUAUUUGUAUAUUAACGCCUAUCUUCCUAUUCAUAUAAUUUUAUUUCAAUUCUCAAACUACCUUCUAGCCUCCAAGAAACAACAAAGUUUACAACAAAUUAUAUAAAAACAUGCUUUAAUCUUUUUUCUUGCACAUUUCAUAUACUAUACAUAUAUCUGACUUGGGGAAAACUACUUUUUACAAAGAAAAUGAAUAAUGUAUGAUAUAAAAUAAGUCUAGACUAUCCAUUCUUUAGAAUAUGUUUAAACAGAUUGAACAUUUAGUUAAGAAUUACAGGUAGUCAUUGACUUAUGAUCACAAUUGAGCCCAAAAUUUCUGUUGCUAAGCAACAGAAGCAAUUGUUAAGUGAAUUUUGCCCCAUUUACGAUCUUUCUUGCCAGUCAUUAAGUGAAUCAUUGCAGUUAAGUUAGUAACACUGUUGUUAAAUGAAUCCAGUUCCCCUCGUUGACCUUGUUUGUCAGAAGGUCACAAAAGGUGAUCACAUGAUCCUGGGACACUGUAACUAUCAUAAAUACGUGACCAGAUACCAAGCAGCCAAUUUUUGAUCAUGUGACCACAGGAAUGCUGCAAUGAUUGCAGAAUAUGAAAAAUGGGAAUUAGCCACUUUUUUUCAGUGCCACUGUAACUUCAAACAGUCCCUAAACGAAUGUUCGCAAGUCAAGGACUACAUGUACAUACUGGUACAAUGAGUCAAAACAAUAUCCUAAAUUAUGUUAAUUUAUGCACAGGCUUUAGGACAUUAUAAACUUUUCUCUUUAUAGGGUCUUUGGGCUCAAAACCAAUUAUUGCCAAAGAAAUGGUACAAUCUGUGCAGGACUGAUUCUGUAAAAUACCAGUAUUUAACUGAUUCCUAAAAUAUAGAAGACAAAGGCAAACAAUAUUGGUUUGCUUUUCCCCAUUGUUCCUUCAAUUUUUCAGCAAAAUCAUACUUUAAUCAUUUUGACUCAGCUGCUCUUGAAAAUCACUUAAGACUAUUACAACCUUCCUGAUAUAAAUUUACAAAACUGUUAGCUUGAUGUUAGAUUCCGAAGGACAUUCUAUUGACAACGUAAUUCAACAGCCAAGUACAGAACACACCUAUGCUAAGAAUGCUAAUAAGCGAAGUGCCUAAUUGACUUGACAUUUUACUAACAUACAAACUUCAGUACAUACAAAUGCUAUAAAAUUUUCUUAGACAGCAUUCAGGAGCGAAUGUUUCAUUAAAGUGAAAUAAAUAAGAUUUUAAACUUUGCAAUCUUUAACAACCUCUUAAACAUGUAUUUUUAAUCAUUAUCUACCUUAACACCUCCAGUCUUAAGAAAAAAUGUAUUAAGCCUAGUGAUAUAGUUAUUUAAUCGUAAACAAUAAAAACACCAUGAUGUAAGAAAACCCAGUUGAAUUGUGCUGCUACACAAUUUCUUUGCUGACAGUCUUCUGCUCAACUAUUUUCAACACCUAACUUUGGAAAAGGUUAAUAAGAAAUCUACAUCUGGCAGUCCUAAUCUAAUCUGCUGCACUCUGAGAAACCACCAGGCAUAAUUGUUAGAAAGUGGUAAGACUUGUUUAAAAAAUACUUUUCAUUUGUAAGGUAGUCAAAGCAUCGAACAUCCUUGCUUCUCUGUGUCUUUGCGUCUUUGGGGGAUGAGCAGAAAUGGGAACUAUCUCCAAGAGGCUAUAAAGUAGCCAAAAUAAGAGAAAGAACACACAUUUAGACCCCCAAAAUAUCAUACUAGACAGGAAGAGUACACAAGCUCCUAAAUAGCAAGAGAAUGGGACAAAUUGCUUAUUACAAAAAAAGAA